rnacentral:misc_RNA from 1 species
GCGGAGGGAUCAUUACCGAGUUUACAACUCCCAAACCCCUGUGAACAUACCACUUGUUGCCUCGGCGGAUCAGCCCGCUCCCGGUAAAACGGGACGGCCCGCCAGAGGACCCCUAAACUCUGUUUCUAUAUGUAACUUCUGAGUAAAACCAUAAAUAAAUCAAAACUUUCAACAACGGAUCUCUUGGUUCUGGCAUCGAUGAAGAACGCAGCAAAAUGCGAUAAGUAAUGUGAAUUGCAGAAUUCAGUGAAUCAUCGAAUCUUUGAACGCACAUUGCGCCCGCCAGUAUUCUGGCGGGCAUGCCUGUUCGAGCGUCAUUUCAACCCUCAAGCACAGCUUGGUGUUGGGACUCGCGUUAAUUCGCGUUCCCCAAAUUGAUUGGCGGUCACGUCGAGCUUCCAUAGCGUAGUAGUAAAACCCUCGUUACUGGUAAUCGUCGCGGCCACGCCGUUAAACCCCAACUUCUGAAUGUUGACCUCGGAUCAGGUAGGAAUACCCGCUGAACUUAAGCAA